UACAGGGGGUGCAAACGUUGCUCGGAAUUAUUGGGCGUAAAGCGCACGUAGGCGGUUCGUUAUGUCAGAUGUGAAAGCCCUUGGCUCAACUGAGGAAGUGCAUCUGAAACUGGCGAGCUAGAGUAUGUAAGAGGGUCGCGGAAUUCCCGGUGUAGAGGUGAAAUGCGUAGAUAUCGGGAGGAACAUCAGUGGCGAAAGCGGCACCCUGGCAUUAGCCUGACGCUCAUGUGCGAAAGCGUGGGGAGCGAACGGG
rnacentral:rRNA from 1 species